GUUGAGAUCUAUCUGAAACAUGCCACAUUCAACGUCUAGAAUGAACGGAAAGACGAAAGAAAUGAAAGAAUCCAGAUGACCUUAUUAUUAUUUUGGUGUACAAAAUGUCUGAUGUCGCACUGAAGCCAUGAAGUAUGCAAAUAAUUACCAAAUACAAAUUUGAGAAUAUACGGGGUUGCUUCGAUUAUGGAAGUUUUGCGAAGAAACUAAAUGAAAAACAUCGAGAAAAAUAGUAACAUGAAAAUUGUAUAGAGUAUUUAGGAAGCACACGUACACGCACACGCAUACCAGAUGAUAAUGAAAAAUUACGAUGUUGGCCUGUAUGAAAAGAAUCGAUUUCCGAUCGUGGAAAUAGCCGUAAUAGUCAGGCGAGAAAGAAAAAGCUGAGAAGAGUCGAAGCAACUACGUUUCAGAAAAAGUAGAACUAUUUGUAAGCAACGACGAUAGGGUACCAACUGUUGGACAUUACCAUUGUCUAAAUACUGCUAUGUAAAUUGAUCAAGAUCGUAUACAAAACGUGACGGGAAAUGACAGUAAUAAUAGAAUAAUCUAAUUAUAUUAUAGUAAAAAAAGGACCGUGAAAAUCAGAUUCUUCAGCGUUUAAUGAUUUGCUUAAAUUAUAAACAAGAUAUGCGAUUAAACAAAGAAAGAUUUUUGCUUUUCUUUUUAACAGAGUGAUUCAUACAAUUGAA